AGGAAUAGCAAUCAACUCUGACUUCCAGGCUCUUUGUCUCUCUGGCUUCCUCCCUGUGUGGUUUUGGCAAGGAUAAUAAACUCAGUACUAAGGCAGCAACUGGAAUGAAGGUCAGAGAACACCGUCUGGGUUUAAGAAGGCCUUAGUGAAGUAUUCUUCCUCCGUGGCCUCCCCCCCCCCCAGCCUCCUUUUGUGUCUGAGAAGCCUGCCCACCCCUUACCAAACUUCCCCAAAUAGUGUGUUUUGAUGGCUACAUGUCCAGCAUCUUGUAUAAAUAGGCAAAACUACCCCCAUUGGAUUUUUAAAAAAAUUAUUAUGCUGAGGGCGAAGGGCUUCUCUACAAAGAACACUGAUUGAGGACAUUUCUCAUCAUAAUUUCCUUGAUUGCUGCAUCCUGGAAGGAUCCCUCGGAGACUCACACAGGCACAGAAGAGCUGACGUUUACAAAUACAUAGUCAGGAAAGAGGGCAGAAGAUUCUAGGGAUGCUGGGAAAGACCUCCUGCCCAUUCAUCACACAAGGGAUUAUGUUUCUCCCUGCCUUACCACAGCAUCUUCCUGCCUUGGCCUGCCCACAGGCACAGAUACUGAGCUGGCUACAGAACCUGGACUCUGUGACGCCUUGAUGCUAUGAUGAUGGAGAUGUGCUUUUCUGACCUUCCACCAAAAUUAUCCUGUAUCAGAUCCCCUUGGCUUAGCACAGUGUUUGGCAUACAGCAGGCAUUUAAUAAAUGUGUUUUUACUUUUUUUAUUAAUUGGCAAAGAUCUAUAACAUAAUUUACUUAUAUUGAAAAUAAAAGUUUGACAGCUAA